AUCCAGACUCCUACGGGAGGCAGCAGUGGGGAAUAUUGCACAAUGGGGGAAACCCUGAUGCAGCGACGCCGCGUGAGCGAUGAAGUAUUUCGGUAUGUAAAGCUCUAUCAGCAGGGAAGAAAAUGACGGUACCUGACUAAGAAGCCCCGGCUAACUACGUGCCAGCAGCCGCGGUAAUACGUAGGGGGCAAGCGUUAUCCGGAUUUACUGGGUGUAAAGGGAGCGUAGACGGACUUGCAAGUCUGAUGUGAAAAUCCGGGGCCCAACCCCGGAACUGCAUUGGAAACUGUAUAUCUAGAGUGUCGGAGAGGCAAGUGGAAUUCCUGGUGUAGCGGUGAAAUGCGUAGAUAUCAGGAGGAACACCAGUGGCGAAGGCGGCCUUCCGGCGCCCUACUGACGCUGAGGCACGAAAGUGCGGGGAUCGCACAGGAUUAGAUCCCCCGGUA
rnacentral:rRNA from 1 species